GGGACGUGCGUCUGACGUCACGUAUACAGAAAAUUCGAAAUGGCUGCACGCGGUAGGUGAGGCCCGAGCGAAGAAAAGUGGAAAAGAUUGUUAUUCGUCAAAAAACCCACACAACGACGGUCAUUUUUUCGCCGUGCUAUUGUAAAAUUGUCUUUUAUCUGUGUUUUGUGUUCCGGGGGACCCCGACUCCAGAAUGUGAAAGUUUCCCGCGUGAAGCCGUGGAGCUCGAGAUCCUGUUUACUGUGGACUAGCUGUGUGUGACGCCAUGUUGUUUUUGUUUCCAUUACAAAAAAAGCUCCACCGUCUCGCCGAGUGCCAGCAAGAGUCAUGAGUACUUGUCAACUCGACUCCUCAACUGGAGAUAACUUUCUAGCACCUCACCAUGGGGAAGGAUGUAUUCAUAUGCCUUCACCAGCACCUGCAUUAAACAUGCAUAGAGUUACACAAGUUCUUACCACCUUGGGGCACCAUUCAGGGUGCCUUUUCAUCUGAUUAAAUUUAUAAUGAACAGGGACAUUGUGGUUGUCCCAAGUGAGUGGUAUGAUGAUAGGAUGGUUUUCUGGCCCAGCUAUAAAAACACCGACAGAAUUGAAAGGGC